GACGAACGCUGGCGGCGUGCUUAACACAUGCAAGUCGAACGGAAAGGCCCUGCUUUUGUGGGGUGCUCGAGUGGCGAACGGGUGAGUAACACGUGAGUAACCUGCCCUUGACUGUGGGAUAACUUCAGGAAACUGGGGCUAAUACCGGAUAGGAGCUCCUGCUGCAUGGUGGGGGUUGGAAAGUUUCGGCGGUUGGGGAUGGACUCGCGGCUUAUGAGCUUGUUGGUGGGGUAGUGGCUUACCAAGGCUUUGACGGGUAGCCGGCCUGAGAGGGUGACCGGCGACAAGGGGCCUACGAUACGGCCCAGACUCGAAUGGGAGGCAGCGGUGGAGAAUCUGGCACAAUGGGGGGGAGCCUGUUGCAGCAGCGCCGCGUGCGGGAUGACGGCCUUCGGGUGGUAAACCGCUUUCGCCUGUGACGAAGCGUGAGUGACGGUAAUGGGUAAAGAAGCACCGGCUAACUACGUG
rnacentral:rRNA from 1 species